rnacentral:tRNA from 1 species
GCGAGAGUGGCGGAACUGGUAGACGCGCCAGACUUAGGAUCUGGUGGGGAUUCCCGUGGGGGUUCGAGUCCCCCCUCUCGCA